GAUGAACGCUGGCGGCGUGCCUAAUACAUGCAAGUCGAGCGAACAGAUAAGGAGCUUGCUCCUUUGACGUUAGCGGCGGACGGGUGAGUAACACGUAGGUAACCUACCUAUAAGACUGGGAUAACUUCGGGAAACCGGAGCUAAUACCGGAUAACAUUUGGAACCGCAUGGUUCUAAAGUGAAAGAUGGUUUUGCUAUCACUUAUAGAUGGACCCGCGCCGUAUUAGCUAGUUGGUAAGGUAACGGCUUACCAAGGCGACGAUACGUAGCCGACCUGAGAGGGUGAUCGGCCACACUGGAACUGAGACACGGUCCAGACUCCUACGGGAGGCAGCAGUAGGGAAUCUUCCGCAAUGGGCGAAAGCCUGACGGAGCAACGCCGCGUGAGUGAUGAAGGGUUUCGGCUCGUAAAACUCUGUUAUUAGGGAAGAACAAAUGUGUAAGUAACUGUGCACGUCUUGACGGUACCUAAUCAGAAAGCCACGGCUAACUACGUG
rnacentral:rRNA from 1 species